GCGGCUACUGCUAUCAGGUUUCGACUAAGCCAUGCGAGUCAAGGGGUCGUAAGGCACCGGCGUACUGCUCAGUAACACGCGGACAAUCUACCCCCAGGUGGAGGAUAACCUCGGGAAACUGAGGCUAAUACCCCAUAGUUGUCAUGUGCUGGAAUGCUUUGACGAUGAAAGAAUUUCGCCUGAGGAUGAGUCUGCGGCCUAUCAGGUAGUAUGUGGUGUAAAGGACCACAUAGCCUAAGACGGGUACGGGCCUUGAAAGAGGGAGCCCGGAGAUGGACUCUGAGACACUAGUCCAGGCCCUACGGGGCGCAGCAGGCGCGAAAACUGUGCAAUGCGCGCAAGCGCGACACGGGAAGCCUGAGUGCCUUAACUAUGUUAAGGCUUUUCUUGAUCCUAAAAAGCUCAAGGAAUAAGAGCUGGGUAAGACGGGUGCCAGCCGCCGCGGUAACACCCGCGGCUCGAGUGGUAGUCACUUUUAUUGAGCCUAAGGCGUUUGUAGCCGGAUUUGUAAAUCUCUAGGAAAAUACUUCUGCUUAACUGAAGAAAUUUUGGAGAGACUGCAAAUCUAGGGACCGGGUGAGGUUGAAUGUACUUCUGGGGUAGGGGUAAAAUCCUGUAAUCCUGGAAGGACGACCGGUGGCGAAGGCGUUCAACUAGAACGGAUCCGACGGUGAGGAACGAAGGCUAGGGGAGCAAACCGGAUUAGAUACCCGGGUAGUCCUAGCUGUAAACACUGCCCACUUGGUGUUGCAUCUCCGGUAAGGGGGUGCAGUGCCGUAGCGAAGGUGUUAAGUGGGCCGCUUGGGGAGUAUGGUCGCAAGGCUGAAACUUAA
rnacentral:rRNA from 1 species